GAUGAACGCUGGCGGCGUGCCUAAUACAUGCAAGUCGAGCGAACGGACGAGAAGCUUGCUUCUCUGAUGUUAGCGGCGGACGGGUGAGUAACACGUGGAUAACCUACCUAUAAGACUGGGAUAACUUCGGGAAACCGGCGCUAAUACCGGAUAAUAUUUUGAACCGCAUGGUUCAAAAGUGAAAGACGGUCUUGCUGUCACUUAUAGAUGGAUCCGCGCUGCAUUAGCUAGUUGGUAAGGUAACGGCUUACCAAGGCAACGAUGCAUAGCCGACCUGAGAGGGUGAUCGGCCACACUGGAACUGAGACACGGUCCAGACUCCUACGGGAGGCAGCAGUAGGGAAUCGUCCGCAAUGGGCGAAAGCCUGACGGAGCAACGCCGCGUGAGUGAUGAAGGUCUUCGGAUCGUAAAACUCUGUUAUUAGGGAAGAACAUAUGUGUAAGUAACUGUGCACAUCUUGACGGUACCUAAUCAGAAAGCCACGGCUAACUACGUG
rnacentral:rRNA from 1 species